rnacentral:rRNA from 1 species
UACAGAGGUGGCAAGCGUUGUUCGGAAUUACUGGGCGUAAAGGGCGCGUAGGCGGCCUUCUGAGUCAGACGUGAAAUCCCCCGGCUUAACCUGGGAACUGCGUCUGAUACUGGAGGGCUUGAGUAUGGGAGAGGGAUGUAGAAUUCCAGGUGUAGCGGUGAAAUGCGUAGAUAUCUGGAGGAACACCGGUGGCGAAGGCGGCAUCCUGGACCGGCAUUGACGCUGAGGCGCGAAAGCCAGGGGAGCAAACGGG